GACGAACGCUGGCGGCGUGCUUAACACAUGCAAGUCGAGCGGUAAGGCCCUUUCGGGGGUACACGAGCGGCGAACGGGUGAGUAACACGUGGGUGACCUGCCUUUAGCUCUGGGAUAAGCCUGGGAAACUGGGCCUAAUACCGGAUAUGACCCUAUGGCGCAUGUUGUGGGGUGGAAAGCCUUGUGCGGCUAGGGAUGGGCCCGCGGCCUAUCAGCUUGUUGGUGGGGUGAUGGCCUACCAAGGCGACGACGGGGUAGCCGGCCUGAGAGGGCAACCGGCCACACUGGGACUGAGACACGGCCCAGACUCCUACGGGAGGCAGCAGUGGGGAAUCUUGCGCAAUGGGCGAAAGCCUGACGCAGCGACGCCGCGUGAGGGAUGACGGCCUCGGUU
rnacentral:rRNA from 1 species